rnacentral:rRNA from 1 species
GACGAACGCUGGCGGCGUGCUUAACACAUGCGAGUCGAACGGAAAGGCCCUGCUUUUGUGGGGUGCUCGAGGGGCGAACGGGUGAGUAACACGUGAGUAACCUGCCCUUGACUUUGGGAUAACUUCAGGAAACUGGGGCUAAGACCGGAUAGGAGCUCCUGCUGCAUGGAGGGGGUUGGAAAGUCUCGGCGGUUGGGGCUGGACUCGCGGCUGAUCAGCUUGUUGGUGGGGUAGUGGCUUCCCAAGGCAUUGGCGGGUAGCCGGCCUGAGAGGGUGGCCGGCCACAAUGGUCCUACGGUACGCACCAGUCUGCUACAGUGGACAGCGGUGGCGAGUAUUGCCCAGUCGUCGCGCGCCUGUUACGAAAGCGCCCCGUUCGGAAUGACGGCCUUCUGGUUGUAAACCGCUUUCGCCUGUGACGACGCGUUAGUGACGGUAAUGGGUGAAGAAGCACCGGCUAACUACGUG